GCUGGGCGUGGUGUUGCACACCUGUAAUCCCAGCUUCUCUGGAGGCUGAGGCAGGAGGAUGGGCAACUGAGUGAGACCCUGUCUCAA
rnacentral:sRNA from 1 species